rnacentral:lncRNA from 1 species
CACAAUCAGGGAGAGGGGCAGCAGGAGAAGCAGAAGCAGACUCCUGGUUGAGCAGGGAACCUGAUGUGGGGCUCAAUCCCAGGACCCUGAGAUUAUGAUCUGAGCUGAAGACAGAUGCUUAACUGACUGAGCCACCCAAGAAUCCCUGGAGCCAAUAUUCUUAAUGUAUUUUAUUUUCCAGUUGCUUCGGAUAGCAAGUGAGGCAGAAAUGGCUCACUGACCACUUAAAUCUGUGCCUCUUUCCCAUGGCACAGAGUUGUUGCUGGAAAGUGACUGUCUAAGCAAUGCCUACAUUCCCAGCCCACUCGGAUCUGGGAAGGACCAUGCAAUUAGUACUGACCAGAGCGAAAUACAACAGGAAGCGAAUGAUGGCCUUGGGUCCCAAGUAUUGAGAUGGUGGUUUCACAAGAAGAGUCUUGUAUCCCCGAAGCCGAGGAGGGAAAAAUGCCUUGGUAUGAUUGUUUCAUUAUGUAACACUUCACACAACACCCCGGAGGAAAUGGCUCCAGGAGAAAGAUAAAAAUACAUUCUGAGAUGUAAAAAAAAGAAAGAAAGAAAAACCCAACUCCUGCUGUCUCGUUUUUCUCCAUUACUUCAAAUGCAGACGGGCAAAAGUGAGUAAUUAAAGAAAGAAAUCUGGUGUUAUUUAAAGGGAACUUGAAUAACAACCAAGUACCAACACCAAUAGCGUGGCAUACGAGUUGAUGUGUUGGAUUAUGUCACCCAAGUGCCUAAUAUCCCAA